GCCUUGGUGGUGAAAUUGGUAGACACGCUAUCUUGAGGGGGUAGUGUCGAAAGACGUGCGAGUUCGAGUCUCGCUCAAGGCACCA
rnacentral:tRNA from 1 species